rnacentral:rRNA from 1 species
UACGUAGGGGGCAAGCGUUGUCCGGAAUCAUUGGGCGGAAAGCGCGUGUAGGCGGCCCGAUAAGUCCGCUGUGAAAGUCCAGGGCUCAACCCUGGAAUGCCGGUGGAUACUGUCGGGCUCGAGUCCGGAAGAGGCGAGUGGAAUUCCUGGUGUAGCGGUGAAAUGCGCAGAUAUCAGGAGGAACACCGAUGGCGAAGGCAGCUCGCUGGGACGGUACUGACGCUGAGACGCGAAAGCGUGGGGAGCAAACAGG